UAUGGUGUAGCUCAGUGAUAGAGUGCUUGCCUAGCAUGUACAAAGUCCUGGGUUUAAUCCCCAGCACUGAAA
rnacentral:tRNA from 1 species